rnacentral:rRNA from 1 species
CAUUACCGAGUUUACAACUCCCAAACCCCUGUGAACAUACCUUAAUGUUGCCUCGGCGGAUCAGCCCGCGCCCCGUAAAACGGGACGGCCCGCCAGAGGACCCAAACUCUAAUGUUUCUUAUUGUAACUUCUGAGUAAAACAAACAAAUAAAUCAAAACUUUCAACAACGGAUCUCUUGGUUCUGGCAUCGAUGAAGAACGCAGCAAAAUGCGAUAAGUAAUGUGAAUUGCAGAAUUCAGUGAAUCAUCGAAUCUUUGAACGCACAUUGCGCCCGCUGGUAUUCCGGCGGGCAUGCCUGUUCGAGCGUCAUUUCAACCCUCAAGCCCCCGGGUUUGGUGUUGGGGAUCGGCUCUGCCCUUCUGGGCGGUGCCGCCCCCGAAAUACAUUGGCGGUCUCGCUGCAGCCUCCAUUGCGUAGUAGCUAACACCUCGCAACUGGAACGCGGCGCGGCCAUGCCGUAAAACCCCAACUUCUGAAUGUGACCU